rnacentral:rRNA from 1 species
UACGUAGGUCGCAAGCGUUGUCCGGAUUUACUGGGCGUAAAGAGCGCGCAGGCGGCUGGUCAAGUCCGAUGUGAAAUCUCCCGGCUCAACUGGGAAACUGCAUCGGAACCUGAUCGGCUUGAAGAUGGGAGAGGGUAGUGGAAUUCCCGGUGUAGUGGUGAAAUGCGUAGAUAUCGGGAGGAACACCAGUGGCGAAGGCGACUACCUGGCCCAUUCUUGACGCUGAGGCGCGAAAGCUAGGGGAGCGAACGGG